UACGGGGGGGGCAAGCGUUGUUCGGACUUACUGGGCGUAAAGGGCUCGUAGGCGGCCAACUAAGUCAGACGUGAAAUCCCUCGGCUUAACCGGGGAACUGCGUCUGAUACUGGAUGGCUUGAGAUUGGGAGAGGGAUGCGGAAUUCCAGGUGUAGCGGUGAAAUGCGUAGAUAUCUGGAGGAACACCGGUGGCGAAGGCGGCAUCCUGGACCAACACUGACGCUGAGGAGCGAAAGCCAGGGGAGCAAACGGG
rnacentral:rRNA from 1 species